AGGUGCUGGACAAGAGGGAGACUGGGUCAGGAAAUCUGGAGAGGAGUCUCUGUUCCCUCUGACCCUGACCUCGGCUCACUGGGAGCAGGGACAGGAGCCAGGGAAGGGCUGGAGCUGGGACAGGGCAGGCUCAGGGUGGAUCUCAGGACAAGGUUCUUCCCCCAGAGGGUGGUGGGCACUGCCCAGGCUCCCCAGGGCAGUGGGCACGGCCCCAAGGCUGCCAGAGCUCCAGGAGGGUUUGGACAACGCUCUGAGGGACAGGGGGGAUUGUUGGGGUGUCCUGGGCAGGGCCAGGAGUGUGACUUUGAUGAUCCUUGUGGGUCCCUCCCAGCUCAGGAUAUUCUGUUAUUCCCUGAUUAUUUCUGCUGCCAACACCCGCCUUGCUCCCAAGAGGGACCAGGAACAGAUGAGCAGGAUUGGAAAACUCAGCAUCUUUUCUGACCAGGUUGUGACAACCCAGCCAUAAGGGAAAGGGAGCAGCCGAGAGUUGUAAAUCCUUGUGGUGGGAAGAAGAGAAAAGAGUCAGAGAGUCCACAAACAAUUAGAGAGUUUUAUUAAACAUUUAUUGAUUUGUUGUUAUUGUUAUUGGUUAUUUGUUAUUAUAGUAUUAUUACUCGUUAUUAUAUUAUUUGUUAUUUCUAAUUUGCUGUUAGUACUGCUUGUUAUUAAUUUCUUGUGUCUGGGGUGUCACAAAGGUCUCUGGGCACCCCCAUGUCCCACAUCACAAAGGGCCCUGGAAGGCGCCAGUGUCACAAAAAGGGACACCCCCCGCAGUGGGAUCACCUGCUUAAAUUAGAACUUGUUUUAAGUAUUUCUUUUUUUAAGAAAGAAAAAAAGAGGAGACUAUAUCCUUUGUUUGGCGGCAAAAAAGUGCACUAAGUGGCAACACCACCAGUGGGGAGGGCAAUUUCCCAAUUCUAGGUGUUAACGCUGAGAAAAAUAAUACGACUCUUCUUUUUUUAUCGCCCCUUGACCUCCACGAAGCAGAAGGUUCCCCUCACACCGCCUGCAAAGGCUGCCGGGAUCUAAAUUCCACCUCGGCAACCUGAGGACGGGAAUAGUGGAAUUCUGCACGACACAAGACAUUCACACUGGCCAAGCACAGCAAGGCCCGUUAAGCCAUUCCCAGACCGCUUCCAUCCUGCUGUGCCCAGUCUCUGCUCAACACCAGGCUGAGCCCGUGCUCCUGCAACACCCAAAACUCCAAGUCUGAAACGCCAGCCUUUCUGCACAGUAUUUAUUUAUACACAAAACCAGUGCGUUUUGAUCACAUACAAGUUUUGAUCCUGCAAACUCAGAUUUAUAUAGUUUUAUUUUUUACAAAAAAUACAUUUUAACAAGUAAAUAAAAGCCAUUUCCAU